rnacentral:pre_miRNA from 1 species
GAUAUCAACUGAAAAAGUCAUCAACAACAAAGUUGAAUAACUCAUCAAGUUCUAAAACUUUUAUUUUGGUCAUUUCUUCAUACGACAAAGUGAUAGUAACAUUGUUCACAAAGUUGACAUAUCUCUUAUCUGGUUUUAUAAACUAUAACACAUAUAUGUAAAAUUUGUGAAUAAUAUUACUAACAUUUCGUCGGAUGAAGAAAUAACAAAAAUAAAGUUUUAGAUCUUGAUGAGUUAUUCAACUUUAUUGUUGAUUACUUUUUCAAUUGAAAUC